UACAGAGGGGGCCAGCGUUAUUCGGAAUUAUUGGGCGUAAAGGGCGCGUAGGCGGCCAUGCGUGUCUUCCGUGAAAUCCCUCGGCUUAACUGAGGACGUGCGGAAGAAACUGCAAGGCUCGAGUCCGGGAGAGGGGGGUGGAAUUCCCAGUGUAGCGGUGAAAUGCGUAGAUAUUGGGAGGAACACCAGUGGCGAAGGCGGCUACCUGGACCGGAACUGACGCUGAUGCGCGAAAGCGUGGGUAGCAAACAGG
rnacentral:rRNA from 1 species